GAUGAAGAACGUAGCGAAAUGCGAUAAGUAAUGUGAAUUGCAGAAUUCAGUGAAUCAUCGAAUCUUUGAACGCACAUUGCGCCCGCCAGUAUUCUGGCGGGCAUGCCUGUUCGAGCGUCAUUUCAACCAUCAAGCCCCAGGCUUGUGUUGGAGCCCUGCGGCUGCCGCAGCCUCCCAAAACCAGUGGCGGGCUCGCUAUCACACCGAGUGCAGUAGUUUUCUCUUCGCUCAGGGCGUGUGGCGGGUGCUAGCCGUAAAACCCCCAACUUCUCAAGGUUGACCUCGGAUCAGGUAGGAAUACCCGCUGAACUUAAGCAUAUCAAUAAGCGGAGGA
rnacentral:misc_RNA from 1 species